UGUGUGUCCCAGGAAAUUGGCCAUAUCCGCCCAGGAACUAGAUAAUGAGUAUGCCCCAUGAUGUCAGCCACACCUGUGGUCUGACAUUCUUCUCUUUACAUUGCAACCCCCCACCCAGAAAACACAGACAGUCAAAUCAUAUAUAACUAAGAUCCUUUUCGUUCAAUAAAUGAGACUCUUCUCCACCGCAAUGUAGUCUCCCUCCUCCUUUCUCGCCCGUUUCUCUUACAGGUCUUUUUGUCCUCCUCGACACCCCACAAAUGACGAGGUCCUGCUGGUUAGGACAAGUGGCGCCCAACGUGGGGCUCGAGGAACGGACUCUCGACUAGGUGGACCCCUGAAGUCGUCCGGACCCCUAAUUCUGAUUUGUGUUUUUGCUCUAGAUUUUGGUCAAAUUACAGAUAUUGGCCUGCUUCUGGAACCUGGAUCAGCUUUGAUCAGCUUUGAUUGUCACCACGGCACACACCCACUCUGCAAGGAAUGAGAGCCUCCUAUCACUUCACAGCCUGAAGCAGCAGUUUUAAAUGAGACCAUGGACUGGACCCUGCAUCGACUGUACUUUGGACUGAUAUGAGGGACUUUGGGAAUGGUUGAUGACUGACUGUUAAACCUUGCCUGGUUCAUCUAUUACUGUGUGUUUAAGAUUUGAUAUGGGAUUUGUUAAAAUUGUGUAAUUAUUGCUUUUAUGUUUGAGGGCUUUUUAGGAAAUGCUACUGUAUUAGUCUGUUAUGUAUAGGGAUUUUGAUUCACUCUCAGAAUUUAUAUGGGGAAUGGGCAUUUGAUAAUUCCUUUCCGUGAGAAAAAAAAAGGGGGGGGGGGGGAGAUAGAGAUAGAACAUUGGGGAAACUGGUAUAUAUUUUUUCAAAAUACCUGAAAGAAUGGGAACGCCUAGCUCCUAUUCACUUUGCCUUAAGCACUUUUGCCCCACCCCUUAUCUCACUAGUUCAGAUUGAAUUUGGAUGCUUUAGUUUUAGAAUCCCUUAUUUUGUUAAAAUUUCCCUGGCAGACUCAGUUUUGGGAUUAUUAAUCCUGGUAUCAAAACUGGUUCUCAACCUCCCCCUGGCUGACAACCCUUCUUCCUACUUUUCUGGGACCGUUUGUGGCUAUUCUUCUUAUUUCUUUCGGACCUUGGCUGUUUGCUAAGUUAACUGGUUUUGUUAAGUCCCAGGUGGAUGCUGCCGUUCAGAAGAGUACUCACAUGUUCUAUCAAAGGCUCCAUACUCCUGAGUCGUUGGAACAAAUGCAAAAUCCACUUUUUGAGCCUCUGCAGUUUGCCAAUUUAGAGGCCGAACUCAACACCCCCUGGUAUCGUAAAUGCUGUUGAGAUAGUUAAGUGGGCCUAAAGCUGUGGAGGAGCCCAUGACAGGAUUAUUGCGACUCUGUGAUCUGCUAUAUGCUGGCCUUAUGCUGCAGGAUUAUCCAAUGACAGGAUUAUUGUGAGCCUGCCUCUAGUAGGGGUGGUGUCAGCUCGAAUAGCCUAAGACAGGAGUCCUGCCAAAUGAAUUAGGUAGGCCGCAGGUCCAGAUGCACGUCGCAUAGCCUAAGACAGGCCCUCCACUGACCCAUAAUUCAUCGUGCAUAUAAUAAGGAAGGGGGAGAUGUUGGAGACAGGAAAUAAAGAGCCAAGAAGAAUGUGACUACCUGUGCGUAAACUCUGACACGGUUAGCUAAAACCUUAUUGUGAACAAACAAUACGUCCUAAAUUCCUGAGACAAGAUAAUGUGUGUCCCAGGAAAUUGGCCAUUUCCGCCCUGGAACUAGAUAACGAGUAUGCCCCAUGAUGUCAGCCACACCUGUGGUCUGACAUUCUUCUCUUUUUACAUUGCAACCCCCCACCCAGAAAACGCAGGCAGUCAAAUCAUAUAUAACUUAAGCACCUUCUUUCAAUAAAUGAGAUUCUUCUCCACCGCAA